rnacentral:rRNA from 1 species
AACCUAUGGAAUACCACCCUGAAUGUGCGCCCUCUGGUCUGAUCUUGGAAGCUAGGCAGAGUUGGGCCUGGUUCAUACUUGGAAGGGUAAUAGCCAUUACAGAAUGAAGGUCUAUCAGUUA